UUAAUUAAAAUAGUAUUUAGAAGAUACUUCAGCAUGCCUUUUAGACAAAGCAUAAUAUUUUAAUAUUCCGUUCCGAUAUAUUAAAAGAUUUUUAUAUGUAGGCAUUAACGUUAAAUGACCAGUGCAUACAGCAUUGUACAUCUAUGGUUUUCUUUUCAAACGUUCAUAUUUAUGCUUAUUAUUUGUUGUCUGUCACUGUGAGACAAUUCCUGUAAUUGAUUAAUGUUAUAGGGUCGUGGAAGUCCUGUCCAUUCCAGAAUAAACCAAUAUAACACUGUGGAGCGUUCUUCGAAGUAAGCAUGCAUUUUUUCCACUGGAAAGAGAGGUGGUGUGAUUGUUAAUAGAAAUAUUGAUAAUGAAGUGGUAUGUAACAUCAUUAUUUUUAUAUUAUUGAAGUAAUUAUUUUAAAGGUGGAUCAGGAUUUAUAUAAGAAUUACAUUGACUUAGUGUAAUUGAACGCACCUAUACAAUCUUCUGAUAUCUAUGCAUCAUUGGUAUAGAAAGAAUUUUCAUCUAUGGGACGUCCGAUUCAUCGCAUCUCGAAUCUUGCACAUGCAUUUGUCUAUGGCUUGCAUUCUUCCACGAGACGACUACAAAGCGCCAUUUAUCUGUCCAGAAAUAAUAACUACAUCUGAAGACUUGCUUUGAGAUGAUAUCCUUGGAUUCAAUGGACAAGCUACUUACCGAUUUGUAGCAACCAGACAUAUUUUUAUUACCAAGAAAGCUUGUAACGAGCUGGUCAAAACAAUCAUAAGAUACAGGGUGCUUACAAUGGUGUCUAUUAAAUCAUAUUAAAUGUACAUGGAGAGGAUUAAUCAAAGGGGAAAUGUGGAGAAGCACGGUCUCCAAUCAUGCUUGUUUUGGGUGUUUAUGCAAAUGGGUUGUUUGUGGAAAGGGAUGCCAUUUAAACAUAUUAAAUGAAGAAGGAGACAAAAAGUAAAAAAGGAUUCAAAACAUGGAGAAUUGGAGCCCCUUUAAUGUUCCCGCCCCUUGGCUGUGAAAGAUCAUCUGACAAAUGAGAGAGAAUUAAAGUUCAGUUUGUGAUGGUACUGAAAUAAUAUCUACAAUGGUGCUGCCUUUGCUGUUUUCGUCUUCACCUUGCAACGUUAUGCAGUUAAUUUUCAAGGGAUGAGUGAGAGCAACUGAAGAUUUAUGCGAAUUCUACUGAAAUAACAAAUUUUCUGCAUUGGCAUUCCUCUUGGAUUUGAUUUGCUUUUCACACCUGCAAACUUUGGAACAUU